CACGUAGGGCGCAAGCGUUGUCCGGAAUUAUUGGGCGUAAAGAGCUCGUAGGCGGUCUGUUGCGUCCGCUGUGAAAACCCGGGGCUUAACCCUGGGCUGGCAGUGGAUACGGACAGACUAGAGGUAGGUAGGGGAGAAUGGAAUUCCCGGUGUAGCGGUGAAAUGCGCAGAUAUCGGGAGGAACACCGGUGGCGAAGGCGGUUCUCUGGGCCUUACCUGACGCUGAGGAGCGAAAGCGUGGGAGCGAACAGG
rnacentral:rRNA from 1 species